AUUGAACGCUGGCGGCAGGCCUAACACAUGCAAGUCGAACGAGUGGCGGACGGGUGAGUAAUGUCUGGGAAACUGCCUGAUGGAGGGGGAUAACUACUGGAAACGGUAGCUAAUACCGCAUACCAUCAGAUGUGCCCAGAUGGGAUUAGCGAGUAGGUGGGGUAAAGGCUCACCUAGGCGACUAUCCCUAGCUGGUCUGAGAGGAUGACCGGCCACACUGGAACUGAGACACGGUCCAGACUCCUCCGGUAGGCAGCAGUGGGGAAUAUUGCACAAUGGGCGCAAGCCUGAUGCAGCCAUGCCGCGUGGAUGAAGAAGGCCGUCGGGUUGUAAAGUACUUUCAGCGGGGAGGCGUUACCCGCAGAAGAAGCACCGGCUAACUCCGUGCCAGCAGCCGCGGUAAUAC
rnacentral:rRNA from 1 species